rnacentral:rRNA from 1 species
GACGAACGCUGGCGGCGUGCUUAACACAUGCAAGUCGAACGGAAAGGCCCUGCUUGCAGGGUGCUCGAGUGGCGAACGGGUGAGUAACACGUGGGUGAUCUGCCCCUUACUUUGGGAUAAGCCUGGGAAACUGGGUCUAAUACUGGAUAGGACCAUGCUGUAGGUGGUGUGGUGGAAAGAUUAGUUUUGGUAAGGGAUGAGCUCGCGGCCUAUCAGCUUGUUGGUGGGGUAAUGGCCUACCAAGGCGUCGACGGGUAGCCGGCCUGAGAGGGUGGACGGCCACAUUGGGACUGAGAGACGGCCCAGACUCCUACGGGAGGCAGCAGUGGGGAAUAUUGCACAAUGGGCGCAAGCCUGAUGCAGCGACGCCGCGUGGGGGAUGACGGCCUUCGGGUUGUAAACUCCUUUCAGCCAUGACGAAGCCCUUGUGGUGACGGUAGUGGUAGAAGAAGCACCGGCUAACUACGUG